rnacentral:lncRNA from 1 species
CUAGCCAAUCCUUGCCUUAGUCUGGACGCCUCUCUCACGGUCUCACCAGUGCCCACUGUGUGGCGCCCGGAGCACCGUGGAGGUCAAGUGCGCCAACGCCAGCAACGCCGAGGACUCCUCCGCCGACUCCGCGCGUCGGGACGCGGGGUCCGGCGGCGAGGACGGGGCUCCUAAUACUACCAACUACGCGAUCCUGGACGACCUCGCCGUCAGGCCCGUGGCCGCCGCCGCCGGCCUGAGCGGCGCCGCGCUCGGCCGACGCAGACGACGUGCACGAGCAGACCGUGCCCUUCGGGUACAAGGAGGUACAGGUACUGUCUCGUCGUCCCAUCGCCUCCUCAUCAUUGCUAAGAUUCACGAUCACGUCGCUCGGUAGCAUGUUUGCUGUGCUGGUGAAAGCUCAUCGCCCAUUGCUCUACUACCGAUCGUGCUUGUUUCCAGGGCCUGGACCUGCUCUGGGCGGCGCUGCACUCCAAGACGGCGCUCACCGACGUGUUCCUACCCGCCGUCGCUCCGGCCGCCCAGCGCCGCCACCGCCCAUCAACGUUCAUUCGGGAACAGUAGUUCCUCAAUUCAGACUUUUCUGGUUGAUUGAGAUCGAGUCGAAAUUAGUAGCUGUGCUGUUUCUGCUUGCUGUCUAGGUAAUUGAGCAGGUCGUCACUAGUAUUUUUGACUGGAAGCUGUGAUCUUAUCUGUAGCAAGCUAAUCGAGUGUUACGAUGCUCAUCGAGUCUUUAGCUAGUAGCAAUGCUUUACAUCUGGAUGGCUCUGUAAAACACCAACGGCAUAUGCAACAAAGCAGGUGGUGAAAAUGAAACUUGCAGGAACAUCUUCUGUAGCUGUUUGUUAUGGACGAGCCUAGGCACUACUACAGAGUGAGACAUGCUCCCACUGGUGCGCGUGGGCCUGAUUGCGAUCAGACGCGCACGCCAGGGACUGUUUGUUCUUCCAGUUAUUUCCGAGCAUGCCUGGAAGAAAUCUUGGUUGCCUGAAAAAUAAACCCCGGUUUAUGUGUGCAACAAAUGG